rnacentral:rRNA from 1 species
AUUGAACGCUGGCGGCAGGCCUAACACAUGCAAGUCGAACGAGUGGCGGACGGGUGUGUAAUGCUUGGGAAUCCAGCUUAUGGAGGGGUAUAACUACGGGAAACUGGAGAUAAUACCGCGUACCAUAGGAUGAGCCCAAGUGGGAUGAGGUAGUUGGUAAGUUAAAGGCUCACCAAGCCGACGAUCUCUAGCUGGUCUGAGAGGAUGACCAGCCCCACUGGGACUGAGCCACGGCCCAGACUCCUACGGGAGGCAGCAGUGGGGAAUAUUGCGCAAUGGGGGCAACCUGACGCAGCCAUGCCGCGUGAAUGAAGCAGGCCUUCGGGUUGUAAAGUUCUUUCGGUAGCGAGGCGUUAACUACAGAAGAAGCACCGGCUAACUCCGUGCCCGCAGCCGCGGUAAUUC